UACGACCAUAUCCUGUUCAAACACCGGUUCUCGUGCGAUCUCUAAAGUUAAGCAACGUCGAGUCUAAUCAGUACUUAGACAGGUGACCGCUUGGAAAUAACAGGUGCUGUAAG